rnacentral:rRNA from 1 species
CCUACGGGUGGCAGCAGUGGGGGAUAUUGCACAAUGGGGGAAACCCUGAUGCAGCGACGCCGCGUGGGCGAAGAAGUAUUUCGGUAUGUAAAGCCCUAUCAGCAGGGAAGAAGAAAUGACGGUACCUGAGUAAGAAGCACCGGCUAAAUACGUGCCAGCAGCCGCGGUAAUACGGAGGGUGCAAGCGUUAUCCGGAUUGACUGGGGGUAAAGGGAGCGCAGGCGGGACGGCAAGCCUGAUGUGAAAGCCCGCGGCCCAACCGCGGGACUGCAUUGGGAACUACCAGGCUGGAGUGCCGGAGAGGUAGGCGGAAUUCGUGGUGUAGCGGUGAAAUGCGUAGAUAUUAGGAGGAACACCGGUGGCGAAGGCAGCCUACUGGACGGUGACUGACGCUGAGGCUCGAAAGCGUGGGGAGCAAACAGGAUUAGAUACCCGUGUAGUC